AGGAGGUGAACCAACGUGUGUAAAAAGACUAGUAAAGCAAUGAGCUUCCAACUCUAACAACAUAAGUGACUAACUAUUGGGAGAUUUACAGAUUCUACGGAUAAAGAUAAUCAAUUCAGAAAAUAUGGGAAGAAAAUAUUUGGAAAUAUUUUGUUUCCGUGUAUUAAAAAAUCAAUUUUCAAAAAGAAAUUAAAAAUUGAUUUAAUAUUUUCUUUUAUUUUAAUCAUUUUUAAAAAAUUGCAAAAAGUUAAGAAAAUAAUCGAUUUAA
rnacentral:lncRNA from 1 species